AUUAUUUUGGCAGAUUAGUGCGAUUGAUUUAGAAUCAUUAUAAAUAAUUUAAAUAUUAUAAAUAAUA
rnacentral:tRNA from 1 species